GCUAAAUGAAGUCCAGUUCAUUUCUUCUAAAUUUGAUCAUCGAACUUGCAAAACGCCGGUAAAAAUGUCGCUCGUAAGAUCGGUAUAUAACACGUUGUUCAGGAGAACGUCAACGUUCGUCCUUACUAUAGCUGUUGGGGCUGUCUUCUUCGAACGUCUGUUCGAUGUAGGAGGAGAUAAAAUCUACGACUACAUAAAUAGAGGCAAACAAUGGAAGGAUAUCAAGGGUGACAUCCUCUUGAGAUCAGCAGAAGCCGGGGAUGAGGAGGAAUGAUAAAUGACUGAUAAUCAUGCUGCAAUGUCUCUCCAAUGGUACACGCACUUCUCCCCAAUCGGCAACAUCAGCAGCUACAUGUACAUUUCAAGUUCAAGACAUCACCUGACAAAGAUGUUGAUGUGGGGCCGACAUCAUUAUCUUCCGCAUCCAAUAGCUCCAUGACCUGGAUGCUGCAGAAAGUGACUCACCUAGUGGCAGUCUUCACAAAUGGCAUCUUGUGCAGACCUGCACUUCGCUUCAACUUCAACACAACUUCUCUGUUCUCUAUUUUGAAGGAUGGCUUCUUGAGUAAAAACACACAGUCUUUACAAUUUUUAAGACUUACAGGGAACAUUUUAAUCUCAACAUUGGACGUUUGAUGAGGCUGAAUAAUUGCAACAACACAAAAAAAAAUCCACCACAGGAUUUGGAAUUGUGAUGGAUUUUGGAUCUACCUUACACAGCCAUAUGUUUCUGUAGUCAUGGGACAAAAUGAAGACGCAUUUUGGUGCAAUAUUACACCAAACUUUCAAACACUUUAAAACAAGCAGAUAUUAGAGAACACAAUGUACAAGACAACAGCAUGUAUUAUCAGAUUUUGUUGUGAAGUGGUUUUUACAAAAGUGUAUAAAGUCAAAUUAUUUGUUGUUCUUUUUUUCCUGAUUAACUACAAUUCAAUCUGUCUGUCACCAGUCUCCAUCCAACCUUUUUUUUUUUAAACAGUUCUGAGGCUUGACAUUAAGUUGACAUUUGGAAAGCUUUUAAAACAAAGACAACUAAAAUAAGUGGUGCAUGAUUUGAAGAAACUUUUAAUUGAUUUGAAGGAUUUUUAUUGCGCACGACUCCUGACAUCAAAUUACAUGUAGUGUGUACAUCUAUUCAACAUUCUGGAUAAUUUGACAUUACUUGAUAUUUUUGUGGUUUAAAUUCAAAACUUAAACUUUACUUUGUAAUUUAUUACACAAAAUAUAAAGCAUUGUAUUUUAAACCAGUAACCUACAUUAAACACACACACACACUUACCACAAAACAAAGGGUAUUGUUUUCCCUGAGUAAAUUUGCAUGUACAUUUAAAUAUUUUAGUGAAAACCAUACAUUAGAAAAAAGCUUUUAUUUCAUGUGUUGCAUGUGUUGCGGUGUGUGAUUUAAUUUAAUCUGGGUUUAUCCACACACAUGCUCCGUCAAAUAAUUUAGGCUCAGAGAUUAGAAUAAAGAUUGGAUGUUGUGUAAGUGUUGAAAAUAGUGAAUCUGUUCUGAACAGUUGAAAA